rnacentral:rRNA from 1 species
GAUGAACGCUAGCUACAGGCUUAACACAUGCAAGUCGCGGGGCAUCAUGUUGGUUGCUUGCAACCGAUGAUGGCGACCGGCGCACGGGUGAGUAACGCGUAUCCAACCUGCUUAUUACCACGGGAUACCCCGGCGAAAGUCGGCCUAAUACCGUAUGCAGUCCUCCAAUGGCAUCAGCAGUGGACGAAAGGUUUAGCGGUAAUGGAUGGGGAUGCGUCCGAUUAGCUUGUUGGCGGGGUAACAGCCCACCAAGGCAUCGAUCGGUAGGGGUUCUGAGAGGAAGGUCCCCCACACUGGAACUGAGACACGGUCCAGACUCCUACGGGAGGCAGCAGUGAGGAAUAUUGGUCAAUGGGCGUAAGCCUGAACCAGCCAAGUAGCGUGCAGGAUGACGGCCCUAUGGGUUGUAAACUGCUUUUAUGCGAGGAUAAAGUCACCCACGUGUGGGUGUUUGCAGGUAUUGCAUGAAUAAGGACCGGU